GGCUCGGUAGUCUACCGGUACCAAUCCUUUCCUAUACGCACUCACGGGUCUCUUGGACUAAGACCAGAACGUAGAGAUAAGCUCGUAAUGGGGAAGGUUGGCGUGGGUUCGAAUCCCACCCGGGUCA